rnacentral:rRNA from 1 species
GAUGAACGCUGGCGGCGUGCCUAAUACAUGCAAGUCGAGCGAACAGACGAGGAGCUUGCUCCUCUGACGUUAGCGGCGGACGGGUGAGUAACACGUGGAUAACCUACCUAUAAGACUGGGAUAACUUCGGGAAACCGGAGCUAAUACCGGAUAAUAUAUUGAACCGCAUGGUUCAAUAGUGAAAGACGGUUUUGCUGUCACUUAUAGAUGGAUCCGCGCCGCAUUAGCUAGUUGGUAAGGUAACGGCUUACCAAGGCGACGAUGCGUAGCCGACCUGAGAGGGUGAUCGGUCACACUGGAACUGAGACACGGUCCAGACUCCUACGGGAGGCAGCAGUAGGGAAUCUUCCGCAAAGGGCGAAAGCCUGACGGAGCAACGCCGCGUGAGUGAUGAAGGUCUUCGGAUCGUAAAACUCUGUUAUUAGGGAAGAACAAAUGUGUAAGUAACUAUGCACGUCUUGACGGUACCUAAUCAGAAAGCCACGGCUAACUACGUG